UUCGCCGCGUAUACGGUCGCGCGGGAUUGUUCCAUGAUCCCGUGAGGAAAGUCCGGGCUUCACAGGGCAGGGUGCCGGAUAACGUCCGGUGGGGGUAACCCUAAGGAAAGUGCAACAGAAAUGAUACCGCCUUUUUUAAAAAGGUAAGGGUGGAAUGGCGGUGUAAGAGACCACCGGUGCUCCGGUAACGGAGUACGCUGUGCAAACCCCACUCGAAGCAAGACCAAGCAGAAGGCACAUGCGGCGGCCCGUCGCGCCUUCGGGUAGGUUGCGUGGCAUUCUCGGAAGGGGAUGCCGGAGCUGUAUGGUAACAUGCAGUCAAGAAGGAUGACCGUUUAGUACAGAACCCGGCUUAUUUCGCGGCGUAUUAU
rnacentral:RNase_P_RNA from 1 species